UUUUUGCAUAUCAAUAAGCGGAGGAAAAGAAACCAACAGGGAUUGCCUCAGUAACGGCGAGUGAAGCGGCAAAAGCUCAAAUUUGAAACCCUCGGGAUUGUAAUUUGAAGAUUUGGCAUUGGAGAAAGCUAACCCAAGUUACUUGGAAUAGUACGUCAUAGAGGGUGACAACCCCGUCUGGCUAACCGUUCUCCAUGUAUUGCCUUAUCAAAGAGUCGAGUUGUUUGGGAAUGCAGCUCAAAGUGGGUGGUAAACUCCAUCUAAAGCUAAAUACUGGUGAGAGACCGAUAGCGAACAAGUACUGUGAAGGAAAGGUGAAAAGAACUUUGAAAAGAGAGUGAAAUAGUAUGUGAAAUUGUUGAUAGGGAAGGAAAUGAGUGGAGAGUGGUUUAGGUUUCAGCCUUCUUUCGAGGGGGUGCACUACCAACGCCGAGUCAUUGAUAGCGAGACAGGGGUUAUAAACGGACGGCACUUGUGCUAUUCUCCUAACCCCUCUACUGCCACCAACGACAUAAUCCACCCAUUUCACCCGUCUUGAAACACGGACCAAAAAA
rnacentral:rRNA from 1 species